rnacentral:rRNA from 1 species
CCUGAGAAACCCGAAAGAUCGAAUGAGGAGACUCAUCGUCAGCGUGUUCGGUUUCCGUGUGGAUUGCGAUGUUUUUCGACCUGUGCAUUAGCGCUUGUCGAUUUCACGCGUUCGCUGCGGCAUUUCCGAUUACGUAGGCGUGCACUUCUCCUCUAGUAGAACGUCGCGACCCGUUGACGGUCGGUUUAAGGAUCAAGAUUGUCGACUGUUUCGUCGCUUCGGCGUUACGAUUGCAGACGCUUGAAUUCCCGACCGGCUGUUCGACGGUAUUGAUUAAUCGAUGGUAUCGAGCCGCACUCGAAUGCGUUCGGACCCGUCACAAGCCCCGACCACGUCAACCUUGGCGCGCGGACCCAGUGCCGUUCCCGAGGGUGGUCAGCUGUUGGUCGACGGUGCUCUCGAACCGGCUUAAACGCAAUAAUAGAUACCAGUCGGCGACGCUAUUGCUUCGGGUGCUUUCAGGACCCGUCUUGAAACACGGACCAAGGAGUCUAACAUGUGCGCGAGUCAUUGGGACUUUGAAACCUAAAGGCGCAUUGAAAGAGAAGAUCGACCUCGCGUCGAUUCAGGGAGGAUGGGCAACGUCACGAUGUUGCCUCGCACUCCCGGGGUGUCUCGUUGUCAUUGCGACUUGAGGCACACCCAGAGCGCACACGUUGGGACCCGAAAGAUGGUGAACUAUGCCUGGUCAGGACGAAGUCAGGGGAAACCCUGAUGGAGGUCCGAAGCGAUUCUGACGUGCAAAUCGAUCGUCGGAACUGGGUAUAG